CUUUUGCCUUAACUCUUAAGUCUUUGUAUUACCCACCCGUUUUCCCCCUCAGUUCCACCGGUUCGUCUCCCGUCGAGGGCUUGUAUUGCACACCAGAUGUCUUUUGAUUCCAACAAGAAGAAGCAUCAGAGGUUUUUGUGGUGUGCUUGCUGUUUCAUGAACCGGAGGAGACUGUGGUGCUCAUCGACGGUGUUGUUUCGGCAUUGGACUUGAAACAAGGUUUAAGUAGUUUAAGGUUGGAGGACUGAGGUUUGGGAUUGAGAGAUUGUUCUUGGUGGGGAGAGGUUUUCAGUAACAUAAUUGGUGAAAGUUUACUUCAGUAGUUGGAUUAUUAGGUGUUCUGUUAUCACAAUGCGUCAGCGUCUCGGCCCUGGAUUCCGUUUCCAUCCAACUGAUGUUGAGUUGGUUUUGUACUAUCUCAAGAGGAAAAUUUUGGGUAAGAAGCUUCUCUGUGAGCCUAUUGCGGAGGUCAACAUCUACAAAUACUCUCCAUGGGAUCUUCCAGAUAAAUCUUGCUUGAAAACUAAAGAUUUAGAGUGGUUCUUUUUCUGUCCAAGAGAGAAGAAGUAUGCAAGUGGGGCACGUGUCAAGCGUGCAACUAAAGAUGGUUUUUGGAAAACUACUGGAAAAGGCAGGCCUAUUUCUCACAAUGGGAGAAUUGUUGGAGCUGUAAACACCUUGAUAUUUCACCAGGGUCAUGCCCCGCAUGGAAGAAGAACGGAUUGGGUUAUGCACGAGUAUAAGCUCAUUGAUAAUGAGUUGGCUGCAGCUGGAGUUCAGGAUAAUUAUGUUGUGUGUAAAGUUUUUGAGAAGAAUGGACCAGGCCCCAAAAAUGGCGCACAGUAUGGUGCCCCUUUCAAUCCAGCUGAUUGGACUGAUGAUGAUGACGAUGUUGCUGAGAACCAUUCUAUACCCCAGGCAGCUGAAGCUCCUUCACAAACUGCAUGGAUGCAGAAUGAAGAGCAUAGUUUGCCUCUUGGAAGCGGAUUGCUUGACUCUGGAAAUGGACCACUACCUAUGCUUGAAGAAGGUCCAUCAUCUUCAGUGGUUGCUCCAACUAGUAUUGUAGCUGCAGACGAGACCAAUGAUGAGAUUGAUAGUAUGCUUGCCUGCUUUGUCGAUGAAGACAUGCUGCUUCCUGAUGGGAAUGGAUUCAAUCAGGAUGAUCUUAGUGGCAAUGGAAACAACAGAUUGUUACCUUGUAGUGGGGGCUUGGAUAUAUACAAUCAUCUUCAUGACUUGGAUGGUUGGAGAAAGAUCAAUGAGGGCAGAUAUGACUUCUCUGGAUCACAGAAUGUUGACUAUCCACUCUACAUGCUUCCCGUAGACAAUUCAACAUAUAUAGAACUCGAUGAUCUUCGGCUCCCAUUGGAUUGCUCAAAUGGAGUUACUGGAGCUCAUUUCUCAUCAAGUGGCCUGGGGUCUGCAUCUUAUGGCCAUGAGAAUAUUCAUCAAUUAAACUCUAUAACUGGGUUUGCCGGCAUAGGGGAUCAGCAUCUUUCAUUUGCAAAUGAGCUGUCUGUGUUGCCAAAUACAUCCGGGGGUGAUAUUUCUUUGGAUGUGCUUCAGAUGGUGGACAAUCCAUUUUACCAGGUAACUAAUGAUUCACAUAAUUCAGACUUCUCAUUUGGGCAACUGGGGAAUCCGGUCUGUUCUCCUCCCAACACUGAAAGAGUCAAUUAUAUAAAGUCAAACUGCCUGAACUUGCCAAUUUCGGGAGAUAUAAAUGCAAUUUUUCAAAAUCCCUUCCGGAAUGCUGCAAGCUUGCGGAACAGGGAUUGUACCUAUGACUAGGCAUGGGCUACUCAUUCUUGUGUUACCAGGACUCCGGUGUCUUUUCUGGACCACUGAGGUGGCACAAGUAGGGGGAAAGACAAUUUAGUUUCUUUCACAUGUUUUAUGUAAAAUUUUGGGAUCUUGCUAUGUAAAUGUAGCAUGUAUUGGGAGGUUGCAUGACCUUCCCAACUAUUGUGUUGAUGGAUGCUGCAGGAUUACAUUUAGAAUACCAUUAUUCAAGAUUUAUGGAACGCAUUCCAGCUCACUUACCUACAGUUGCUAAGAUUCUCGCUCUUUGUUCUUGUGGUGGCUCCUCCAUACAUAUCAAGGCUGAGGUGACUCACAGAGCUGGUG